GAGGAAAGGAGAACACAAAGUAAAAGUGACACUGCCUAUUUCUUCACGGGUACAAGGGCCACUUAGGCUGGGAUGCUUUUCCUGAAAAUGCAGACCAUACAGAACAAGGCCAUGUGACUAAGAAUCCACAACAGAAACAAACACAAGACACAUAUGAGUUAGGAAAGUUAAGGAAGCAGUCCUUCCUUUCGGCCAAAACUGCCACCUUCCAGUAAUUUGCCACAAUGAUGAACACAAAGGGGGAAGAGGAGAGGCACCGGUAUACAUUCUCUAGGCCUUUUAGAAAACAUGGACUUGUUCCUUUGGUUACAAAUAUGCGAAUCUAUAAGAAAGGUGAUAUGGUACACAUCAACGGAAUGGAUACUGUUCAAAAAGGAAUGCCCCACAAGUGUUACCAUGGCAAAACUGAAAGUCUACAGUGUUCCCCAGCAUGCUGUUGGCAUUGUUGUAAACAAGGGUAAGAUUCUUGCCAAGAGAAUUAAUGUGCAUAUUGAGCACAUUAAGCACUGUAAGAGCCGAGAUAGCUUCCUGAAAUGUGUGAAGGAAAAUGAUCAGAAAAAGAAAGAAGCCAAAGAGGAAGGUACCUGGGUUCAAGUGAAGCACCAGCCUGCUCCACCCAGAGAAGCGCACUUUGUGAAAGCUUGUGGGAAGGAGCCUGAGCUGCUGGAACCUAUUCCCUGUGAAUUCAUGGCAUCAUAGGUGUUAAUAAAAUAAAAUAAAAUAAAAUAAAAUAAAAUAAAAUAAAAUAAAAUAAAAGACCUCUGGCUGUAAAACAAAACAAAACAAAAAAAUCAAAAAACAACAAAAAAGAAAGCAGUGGAGUGCAUUUGUAGAUUUGGUACAUUAAUGUGCCAGGCCCUCCAUCCCACUUCUCUGAAAGCCUCUCUCCUGUGUGUGAGAGGGAAGGCAUGGGGCAAGAAGGGGAAGGUCUUCCUUAAAUAGCUGGUGGUAACAUUGUCCUCAGCUCACCAAGAGAACUCUCUGAACAAUGUGACUCCUAUUAGAAAUGAGAACAAGUACCUAUUGUUUAGGCUUAAACAACUCUAAGUGUUUCUUUUAGAGAUAAUUAAUUUAAUUAAAAUGGUCCCUGAAGCCAAACUGAGCUUCAUAUUGAGCACUAUACACAUUCCUUCCAAAUUCCAGUACAAAGCUAUUCAGAAGUAGUAAACUAUCAGUCAUGUAGCUCACAUUUACUUCCACUGGAAUGGAGGCCCUAGCACAGGGGCUGGGAUAGGAGGCUCUUCCUGAGCUGGAGGGAGUAGCAUUAGUUCUGAUGCAGUUAGAGAAAAGAUGAUUUUUCAUCUGUGGAUUUAGUUCCAAAAAUGAUGUGGGCAUUUUUUCCUUCAUGGUAGUUUCAAGAAGAGAAAUUUGGUUUACUGACUGCAUCCAAAUCAACCAUCUACAGGAUACCCUCAGCAUGUCGGUGCUCAAUAAAUGAAUGAAUCAGUGGAUAAAUGGCCAGGCGCAGUGGCUCACCCCUGUAAUCCCAGCACUUUGGGAGGCCAAGUGACCUCAAGGCGGAUCACUUGAGGUCAGGAGUUCUAGACCAGCCUGGCCAGCACUUUAGGAGGCUGAGGCAGGGGUGGAUCACUUGAGGUCAAGAGUUUGAGACAAGCCUGGCCAACAUAGUGAAAAUCCGUCUCUACUAAAAAUACAAAAAUUAGCCAGGCAUGAUGGUGCACUGCUGUAAUCCCAGCUACUCAGGAGACUGAGGCAGAGGUUGCAGUGAGCUGAGGUCGUGCCACUGCACACAGCCUGGGCAACAGAGUGAGACUCUGUCUCAAAAAAAAAAAAAAA